rnacentral:tRNA from 1 species
GGGCGAUUGGUUUAGUGGUAUAACGACCCCCUUCGCAUGGGGUAGGUCCUUUCGAUUCCUAGAUUGUCCA